CCUCAGCCCAAAGCUCCUUCUGCUAAAACCACUCAACAACCAGCUCAAGGUGGUUCCAUAUUCGUUGCAAACUUGCCUAUGGAUGCGACUCCAGAGCAACUGUUUGAAACAUUUAAAGGCUUUGGAGCUAUUAGAAGAGGCGGCAUCCAAGUCAGAAGCUACACGGAACAAAGAAACUGUUUUGGGUUUGUGGCCUUUGAAAAUAGUGAAUCGAU